rnacentral:rRNA from 1 species
GCGGUGGAUGAUGUGGAUUAAUCGAUGCAACGCGAAAACCUUACUACCUUGACAUGUCCGGAAUCCCGAAGAGAUUUGGGAGUGCUCGCAAGAGAACCGGAACACAGGUGCUGCAUGGCUGUCGUCAGCUCGUGUCGUGAGAUGUUGGGUUAAGUCCCGCAACGAGCGCAACCCUUGUCAUUAGUUGCCAUCAUUUGGUUGGGCACUCUAAUGAGACUGCCGGUGACAAACCGGAGGAAGGUGGGGAUGACGUCAAGUCCUCAUGGCCCUUAUGGGUAGGGCUUCACACGUCAUAUAAUGGUCGGUACAGAGGGUUGCCAACCCGCGAGGGGGAGCUAAUCCCACAAAGCCGAUCGUAGUCCGGAUCGCAGUCUGCAACUCGACUGCGUGAAGUCGGAAUCGCUAGUAAUCGUGGAUCAGCAUGUCACGGUGAAUACGUUCCCGGGUCUU